CCCUUCACGUAUGCCGUUCGCACAGCCCUCUGCAGGCCUUUGUGCUGCACGGUCUGCCCGGCGAGAUAACUGAGUGCAUUCCAUGGUGCAUCCUCGCCUAGAAUUGAGUGGAAGCAAGUCCAUCUCAGAAGGGACAUAACUGAAGAGGGAUGGCUUUCCAGACUCUGAUGGGCAGAGAGAGCAGCAGCCUGGCAUCUCUGAGCCCGCCCUUGGUGACCUCAGAGAGAUCACCCUAGUGGCCCAGGCUAGUGACCGGGAACAUGUACCUUCCUGCAGCCAACCCCAGACGUCCACUGAUGCAUCAUAUACUGGCAAAGAUGUGAGUUCCUGUGCAUUGGUCUAACAGCAGAGACUCUGCCACAGGCCCAAGAGGUGGUGUGUGGGACAUGCAGGGGUGCAGGAGUGUAGGCAGUGCAAAAGUGUAACUGGUGACAGGGGUGCAGGGGCUG